GCUCCGGUGGUGUAGUCCGGUCAAACAAACCAAAUGGACUAAGCAUAAGGGGCUCAAGAUCCUUUGACCCGGGUUCAAAUCCCGGCCGGAGCACCA
rnacentral:tRNA from 1 species